rnacentral:rRNA from 1 species
GUCUAUGGCCAUACCACCCCAGCCGCUCCUGAUCUUGUCUGGUCUUGGAAGCUAAGCAGGGUCAGGCCUGGUUGGUACUUGGAUGGGAGAGGUACUUGGAUCAUGAGGACCCUGGAAA